GUAAAACUUAAAAUCAUACUCAUCUCUUUUAUUCUAGCCGAUAGCCGCACAAAUGACAAAACCCUAAAUCCCAAAUAGCUAACAUCUUAUCUGCAAUAACUACUUCAGAUUCAACGAUUCACAAUCUCACGUACAUCAAGCUUGUUGAGCUAAUUAAGACGGAGAUGGAGCAAAACUUAGAGCCCGUCAAUACUCCGGUGACUUCUUCAUCACACGCAACACAAGCUACACAAGAUGAAACCACUGAGAAGACGCCUGCAUCACAAAAACGGAAAGCAACGCCAUCUUCGAAAAAAGUCCUUUUCAGCAUAUAAAUGCAUCAAGUAUUUGGAGGCUGGAGCUGAUUUCUACAGAGCUUGAAGAUUGAAGCUGAUUUUUUUUUAUAAUAUUUGUAUUUGAAAUUACUUUCCACUUCAACUAUCUCAGUCUGUCUGUUUAAGACUUUAAUCGGUGUGCUACUGUGCUGUUUAAGACUCCUCUGUUAAGUUUUAUUAAUGUUCCAGAUUUGAAA